GGACUAACCGCAAGGGGUGUAGGCGUCUAAGGUAUGGUCAGUGAUUGGGGUG
rnacentral:rRNA from 1 species